rnacentral:rRNA from 1 species
GACGAACGCUGGCGGCGUGCUUAACACAUGCAAGUCGAACGGAAAGGCCCUGCUUUUGUGGGGUGCUCGAGUGGCGAACGGGUGAGUAACACGUGAGUAACCUGCCCUUGACUUUGGGAUAACUUCAGGAAACUGGGGCUAAUACCGGAUAGGAGUUCCUGCUGCAUGGUGGGGGUUGGAAAGUUUCGGCGGUUGGGGAUGGACUCGCGGCUUAUCAGCUUGUUGGUGGGGUAGUGUCUUACCAAGGCUUUGACGGGUAGCCGGCCUGAGAGGGUGACCGGCCACAUUGGGACUGAGAUACGGCCCAGACUCCUACGGGAGGCAGCAGUGGGGAAUAUUGCACAAUGGGCGGAAGCCUGAUGCAGCAACGCCGCGUGCGGGAUGACGGCCUUCGGGUUGUAAACCGCUUUCGCCUGUGACGAAGCGUGAGUGACGGUAAUGGGUAAAGAAGCACCGGCUAACUACGUG